GAUGAACGCUGGCUACAGGCUUAACACAUGCAAGUCGAGGGGAAACGACGGGGAAGCUUGCUUCCACGGGCGUCGACCGGCGCACGGGUGAGUAACGCGUAUCCAACCUGCCUCUGACUGAGGGAUAACCCGUCGAAAGUCGGCCUAAUACCUCAUGGCAUCGUCUGCGGGCAUCCAACGACGAUUAAAGAUUUCAUCGGUCAGGGAUGGGGAUGCGUCUGAUUAGCUUGUUGGCGGGGUAACGGCCCACCAAGGCUACGAUCAGUAGGGGUUCUGAGAGGAAGGUCCCCCACAUUGGAACUGAGACACGGUCCAAACUCCUACGGGAGGCAGCAGUGAGGAAUAUUGGUCAAUGGGCGGGAGCCUGAACCAGCCAAGUAGCGUGCAGGAUGACGGCCCUAUGGGUUGUAAACUGCUUUUAUGCGGGGAUAAAGUGAGGGACGUGUCCUUCAUUGCAGGUACCGCAUGAAUAAGGACCGGCUAAUUCCGUG
rnacentral:rRNA from 1 species